GUAGGGAAUCUUCCACAAUGGACGAAAGUCUGAUGGAGCAACGCCGCGUGAGUGAAGAAGGUCUUCGGAUCGUAAAACUCUGUUGUUAGAGAAGAACGUGCAUGAUAGUAACUGAUCAUGUAAUGACGGUAUCUAACCAGAAAGCCACGGCUAACUACGUGCCAGCAGCCGCGGUAAUACGUAGGUGGCAAGCGUUGUCCGGAUUUAUUGGGCGUAAAGCGAGCGCAGGCGGUUCUUUAAGUCUGAUGUGAAAGCCUUCGGCUUAACCGGAGAAGUGCAUCGGAAACUGGGAGACUUGAGUGCAGAAGAGGACAGUGGAACUCCAUGUGUAGCGGUGGAAUGCGUAGAUAUAUGGAAGAACACCAGUGGCGAAGGCGGCUGUCUAGUCUGUAACUGACGCUGAGGCUCGAAAGCAUGGGUAGCGAACAGGAUUAGAUACCCGGGUAGUCC
rnacentral:rRNA from 1 species